GUGCUCACUUCAGUAGCACAUGUACUAAAAUUGCCACAACCCAUGCCCCUGAGCAAGGACGGCAUGCAAAUUCUUUAAACAUUGCAUAUUUUU
rnacentral:snRNA from 1 species